CGCGCCCCUCCCGGACUGCGACCCCGCGACCCCGCGCGUGGCUGGGGGCGCCCGGUAACCGCCGGCAUAGCCCCCUCCUCCAGCGCCGCCGCCUCCGUCUCGGAGGUUACGAAAUGCUUCCAAAAUGCCCUACUUUCCGAAAAUAUCUUGCACAGUCCGCUUGAAUUUUGUUAGGGAGGAGGACGUUGACACGGGAGCCGGGCAGGCUCGUACCUGCAGGGACGCGGCGCGCCCUCUCGCCCUCGUCCGACCUGGGGGCGUGGGAGCGAGCCCCGGGAGCCCCCAGCCGCCGUGCGGAGCUUGGAGCGGGGUCCGGUCCGGUCGGCGCCCCCCGCCGUGCGGCGAACUGGGACCGUCCAGGGGGUCAGGUCCGGAUCUCCAUCCGCGCCGCCAGGAACGUCUUCUGAUGAGCCCCGCGUCGCGCAUCGUGCGUCCCCACGGUGCACCUGGCGCCAUGUGUGCGGGGUUUAAGGCCCCGCUGUCACCAGUGAAAGUGACGCUCGUCCCUGUGAGCAGCUGCUCAGUCACCAGCGCCGGGUGUUCUCGAGGCCACACCUGGACACUGCUGCCCCCACCAUCACCUAGUGCCUUGUGACCUUGAAGCUCUGUGGACCCGUCUGCUGGAAGCCAAGUGCGCCAGGCCUCCCAGUGUCUACACUACCCCCUCCUCCACCCUGAGCCUUGCAGAGCUCAGAGACCCUUCCUAGGAAAGCAAUGAGUGCGCGAGUGCAGAAGGAAAGCGGCCCUGUGACUUCGCUGGCGCCUAUGUAAAGUCCUGCCUCCUUUUUUUUUUUUUUUUCCCCUAAGGUUUUAUUUAUUCAUGAGAGACACAGCAGAGGGAGGAGCAGGCUCCCUCCGGGAGCCCCAUGCGGGACUCGAUCCGGCACCCCCGGAGCUGAAGGUAGAUACUCAGCCGUUGAGCCCCCUGGGCACCCCAAGUCCUGCCUCCUGGUAAACGUCAGUGGGGCAGCCAGGCCCAGGGUCUUGUGCCUUCUUCCACACCGGCGUAGGAUACGUGCACGCAGGAGAACCCACGUGCAGGGGGAGCCAGUGCGGCGGGGAAGCCUCAACCAGCUUUGUCCGUGACCGGGACUUCCUAACCGAGUGUCUCGGGAACGCGGGGCCUUCCUGCCUUGUUUGGAUGAAUCACACUGCGGCCAACCUAACUGCGAUCAACAGUGCCCUGACGUGGUUUUACACGGACGCUUCUCCCACAGGCGUCUGGGGCCGCUGCAAACCUAGGGAGGAAAAACAGGUUCUUGAAAACCCUAAGAAGACAGAUGACUUCAGAAGAGGGUAAGGGGCCUCGUGCGUGCCUCUUGCCCGGGACGAGGGUGGGCUUCCCGUCUUCUUCUGCUGGGACCAGUGGCGACUCCACAGUCCACUUUCCCAGGACUCUGUCCAGGGCCACCCUUCCUGGACGCUGCCCUCGGCUCGCCUGGCCCCACGGCUCCUCCCACUUCCCUGGAGUCUGGGCUUCUCUCUCCUGGUCUCUCCACUCCUGGUCCCUCCGGCUCUGCCUCCCCGAAGCCUUUCAGAUGGCUCCGCAGCAGAGUUCUGGGUUUGGUCAGGUGGCGGCCCCCCACCCCAGCACUGUUAGCCGCCUCCAUUCCCCAGGCUCAGAUCACCUGGAGACUUCUAGACCAGCCUCACAGCUGUAGCUCCCCAGAGCGGCCAUGGAUCCUCCCCCAUCCCCUGGUCCUCCUCCCCCAUGCCCUGGUCCUCCUCAUGGCUGAGCCGUGGGUGAGCCCAUCAGAGUUCUGCCUCCGCCUCCCCAGGCCUCCUCUUCCCCCCCCCCUCCUUCUUCUCCUCCUUCUCUUCCCCAGGCCUCCUCCUCCCCCCCAGGCCUCCUCCUCCUCCUACCCCGGCUUCCCCCUCCUCCUCCCCUUCCCCAGGCCUCCUCCUCCUCCCCAGGCCUCUUCCUCCUCCCCCUCCCCAGGACGCCUCCUCCUCCUCAGCCUUUCCCGCAGCUAUAGCUCCUGCUUGGCCUUCUGCAGCACCUUCUUGCUUCCGUUUCUGGGCCCCAGUUUUCCCAGGGGCUUCCAGAAUGGUCAUUUGCAGAAUCACUGGAAAUCGUGACUCCUGCGCUAGACUACUUGUCCAGGUUCUUGGUUGCCCACAGGACAGACGAAAGCAGCGGCUCCGUGGCCCUAAGUCAGCAGCUGUGGGCUGACAGUCCUGCUACGCAGAGCUUCUCCGAACUGCCCCCUGCAUUUGCAGGGCUCUCCCUCGACCCGGGCGGUGCUUCCCCACUCCACCAGUAAGGCUCACCCCGUGCUGGGUCCUUUCCAGGACACGUUCCCUAGCGCUCUGGAGCUGGUCGCCUGUGAAGAUCCUGCGGAACCAAAGCUCAGUAAAGGCGUGUUGACUGAAGGUGUAAGUGGGGUCAGCAGCACAGGUGUGCAGAACGGAAGGGCCCCCCCAGAUCUGGCUGCAUGGCUGCAGGUACAGACUGGGGAGGAGUGCCAGGCACGCGCGUGGCAUACACACACCCCAACUCUUCCAAUAAACAUUGCUGAGCGCUCAUGAGGAAGACUGGAGUCCAGAUCAGGGGACCAGGGAGCUACCUGAGAGCCAGUCACAAUCUCUCCUGCCUUCAGACGGGAACUCACACCACCAGUUCUCCUAGCUCUCCAGCUUUCUGGCUCCCCUUCCAGAUCUUGGGAUAUGUCGGCCUCUGCAGUCAUAAGGUGUGGACUAGAUUCAUAGACCAACAGGAACGAUUUCAAGCCAGCUCCAGGGAAGAUGUCGCAGAGAUGGACCAGGUUCAGGCACGACGGCCGGAAGGGCAGCUCCGCUCGUAUUUGCAGUGCUCUUUUACAGAAGAAACAGAGGAAACCAGGGGACGCGCAAUUCACACUAAUACAGAAAAAAGGAUUUGGUCCCCUGAUAACCAAAGAAACACAAAUCACCAUAAGAUCAUCCAUGGUGUCCAUUCUGGCAAAGAUUCAAACAAAAAUUAUGCCCACACUUAGCUACAGGCUCACGGGUUGAACACCGAUGUCAAUCAUACCUCAGUUAACCAGGCUAA